CUGCGCGCUCGCCCCGCGCCCUCCGUCCCCACGCCGGCCUCCGCGCCCUCGCGUGCUGCAGCAUCUCCGCGCUGCCCGGCCUCCCAGCCGCAGCCUCCCCUCGCCGUCGCCUGUCCUUGCUGCCACCAUCGCUGCCGCCAUUCUUGGCACGGAGCUGGCCCGACCGGGCCCCGCCGAGAGCCGCCGCGGGUCGGACGCGCGCUUCAGAUGCACAAGCACAUACUUGAAAAGCACACACACAAAUGGAAAAUGAAGGAGAAAAGGACGUGAAAGUCAACAUCGGCCCCAGGCGACUCGCACCAGUGUGCACAGUUAUCCUCCGCGUCUGAGGGGACGGGAUGGGUUCUAGAACCACCCACGGAACUCACAGAUGCUCACGUCUUUUCAUACGGUGGUAUGUGUGGUGCUGACGCACAGCAGUGAGUAUCCUCCCAUACAUCAGCCACCUCUAGGUGCCUCACCGUUCUGAGGUAAGACUCUGUUAACACCACUGGAACACAGCCAGGUUCUGCACGCCGACAUGUCUGACAAUACUGGUCCCUAGAGCCCCAGCCCCCGGGAUAGAACAGCCCACAUUUAGG
rnacentral:lncRNA from 1 species